AGAAGAUUCAUUAUAAUUUGCACUUUUUGUUUCUUUUUUUUCAGCAAAGGGAGAAGCAGUCAUAUGAGUAACUACUGGCAAAUAGGUUACCUACCACUUGAACAAGAGACAGAACAAUUAUAAUUGCACAAAAGAAAAGUUUGCUUCACUCCAUUGGCUAUAAGAGGGAACUGUGUUAAUCAUCAUAGUUGCAGAAAUCAGCUGUGUAGAAGUCUAACAAGGUUUAUCAUCAAGGUGUUAUUCUCAGGUGGCUCAGAAGAACAGUAACUGUCUGUAUGGUUCUAACAUGAGUUGAAGAAUGACAGCUGAGAAGUGCAAAUCACAAGCAUGCUAAAGGGGUUGAGAUGCUCAGUUCCUCAAGCCUGCCCCCUUAGGCUGUAAAGGUGUAACAAACUGGAGGAAAAUUACACUUAUUUUUGAAUGCUUUCCAUCUCCUUUCUUUUUUCCAACUUUUUUUUUUUUUCUAUGCAAACAGAGAAAUAUAUUUUUCCUAGUGUAAAGUAACCAUGAAGAAUAAGAAUUACUUUUGAUUCAGAAUCCAGAACUGAAUAGAAUUGCUAUAGUCAUUUCAUAUUAACUACAACAGCUCUCAGCCAAAAACAGUUGUUGCAAAUGUAGUCUGUGAGUUGUCCAUUUUUUUAGGCAAAGUUUAAAUGCCUAUGUAGUUAAAUGUCAACAGCUCACAUUGGUUGUGUAAACACUGUAGUAAACACAGUUUGCUAAUCUGUUUUAUCAACUGUGCAUUCAAGUCUACUAGCUAAGCUAAGAGAAAACACUCUAAAUAUGUUCUCCUUCCUUUCUAUUAUAUGUGUUCUCUAGACUAAAGAAGCAUUCAGUAUGUUGGGCAUAGUUGGACAUGCCUAGAUUACCACUUUCUCAGGGUAAAAGCACCAAAUAUUGAC